rnacentral:piRNA from 1 species
UAAAUGCAGACAAUGUAUUGGCAGC